rnacentral:rRNA from 1 species
CACCGGCCCGUCACACCAUCGGGAGUCGAUUGCUACCAGAAGUGGCUGCGCCAACCCGCAAAGGGAGGUACGGUACCCCAAGGAGUGAUCGGUGACUGGGGUG